GUAUAAGAGGUCCUACCUGCCCGGUGACUAAGUUAAACGGCCGCGGUAUCCUGACCGUGCAAAGGUAGCGCAAUCACUUGUUUUUUAAAUAAAGACCUGUAUGAAUGGUGUAACGAGGGCUUAACUGUCUCCCCCUCCCAAUCAGUGAAAUUGAUCUACCCGUGCAGAAGCGGGUAUUAAUAUACAAGACGAGAAGACCCUAUGGAGCUUAAGACAUAUGAUCAACUAUGUUAAGACCACUAAUUAAAGAGAUUAAACAAAACAGCAACUGAUUUAAGUCUUCGAUUGGGGCGAUCGCGGGGGAAAAAAAAUCCCCCAUGUAGAAUAAGAUAAUCUUUAAACUACGAAGCACACUUCUAAGCCACAGAACUUCUGACCCAAAGAUCCGAUAUUUAAACGAUCAACGGACCAAGUUACCCUAGGGAUAACAGCGCAAUCCUCUCCGAGAGUCCCUAUCAACAAGAGGGUUUACGACCUCGAUGUUGGAUCAGGACAUCCUAAUGGUGCAGCCGCUAUUAAGGGUUCGUUUGUUCAACGAUUAAAGUCCU
rnacentral:rRNA from 1 species